rnacentral:misc_RNA from 1 species
UUUUUUAGUCAUCAUUUUUGUGAUUUCUCUAUUGGAAAAUAAUUUUAUUGAAUUAUCACCUUGAACACUUGGAGAUCUAAUAGAACUGUUUAACUUUUCUGUGUAAAUAAAUUAUAUAAUUAUCUAUCAAAUGAUGAAAAACAAAGAAAAAAUGAGGAGAAGAAGGAUGUGAGUGCAAAGAAGAAGAAACAUAGAGAGAGAAAUAAAGAAAAGAGAAUCGAGGCAAUUUGGGUGUAAUAAAAAUUGAAGGGACUAAAGAGUUAACGAAACCAAAUUAUAGGAUUAAUUAAUGUAUUUUUCAAAAUACAAAAACUAACUAAUUAACUUUACUAAAAUAAAAUGACUAAAUAAUAGUUUGAUUAGUAUUGACUGAUAGAAAAAUUGAAAAA